rnacentral:lncRNA from 1 species
AAGACCCUGCAAGACUGAAGCAGUGCUUGGAGUCGGAGAGGAGAGAGUCAGACAAUGUGCACAUUUAUUUCUUUGGAUUAAAGAGGAAGUGGAGAGUUUCUAUUUGGGAUGAUGAUAAAGUUUUGGAAAUGGUAGCCAUGAAUGUUGCACAGUAUUGUUGAAGGUAAUUAAUGCCACGGAUUUAUACACUUAAAAUGGUUAAAAUUUAAUGGGUGUAUUUUAUGAUUUUUUUUUUAAGGAAGUGGGUUGGUCUAUCCAUAGACUAGUCCAGGGUAAUUAACAAACAAUUGCCAUCUUGUUCCCUCUUGAUUUCAAAAGGCUUGCUGACUUUCUGUCCCUUCUGUAGGGUUGACUUAUCCUGGGAGCAGUGACAAAAGCUGGCUCUUGUUGUAGGAACCAUACAGAUGCUGAUACUCAAUCUAAUUCUGGGGCAUUUGAGAGCAUAUGCAGCUUCUCUAGCUCCUAAGACUUCAAUGCUUAAGUAUUGGAAUGCCUUUUAUCCACCAAAAGAUGUACCUAAGAGUUUGUCGCUGGGGUAGACUCUCCUACUUUUCCUACAGAAAUGAUAACCCAUUAUCACUGAGUAUAGGCACUCAAUAAAUUUUUUCGAAUGCCAUUGCCAACUCGUUUUUCUCUCACUUCCAGAACUGAAAACUUGAGUGCAGAGUUGGAAUAGGUAAAGGCUUUUGGAUUUGUGGCUCAGACUUACUUCACUCUCCCCUAUCUGGGACUAUGAAUGUUCCCUAUCUGGGACUAUGAGUGUCUUUACUACCCAGAGUUCAGAGAACACUAGAAUAGCAAGGUUGAAAGAGGCUUGAAAAGUCCCCUGUUUGCCACCCCAGUGAUGCCUGUCUUAUGGUCACAGCCUUUGGUCACACACAGGUGUGGCUUCUAUCUUUGAGAAAGGUCAUACCCUGUGACCAUCACUCACCCCAGCUCCUCAGAGAGCCCCUCAACAUUUCAGACAUAAACAUUUUUGAAGUAUCUUCCACCAAUCCAGAGGCUUAUAGUUCUGAAAUCCCUGUAUUGGGUCCAGAUUGGAUUAUUUUAAUAUUCCAGGAAGAUGCUUUACAGUUGAGACAUUUUCAGUUCAAUUCACAUUUUCUACUUGUAAUUUCUAGCUGGAAAUUACCUAUGGAAGCUGAGUCACCUACCUCGCUCCUGGAGCCCGCUGGCUGUUUCCAAGGCCUUCUUCAUUAUUCAAACCACGACUCCAUCACAGGAAUACCCAAAGCAACAUUUGAUAGUUGUGGAAGAUUUUUACCCUCACAAGUCAUGAAUACUUUCUGUUUAUCGCUUACACUGAGGAUUUAUGACUAUCUAAGUGUUGUAUUUCCGAAGGGAAGCAUCCUAUCCUCAGACUCCCGGCUGUCACCGUCCUGACCUGCCACCUGUGUCACAUCCCAUCAAGUGCUGUGGAUGAGCCAGGUACCAGUAAACCAGCCCCCGAGGCUGGAGAAAUGUUGGAUGUAGAUGCUCACAGAAUCAUUCAUCAAAUCUUGGAAGCUUCGGAGAGAAGUGCGUAAAAUGAAAAUUUAGUUCCAGAGAAAUAGAGCCUCAAUUUAAUACCAUCUACCAAAGCACUGCCACGUCUGUCAUCUUGGGAUGAGGUCAGAGAUCCUAAAUCAAGAGAGGAUGAAGGCUCUCCUGGCGGGGGUGGCCCCAGGGUCUGGAGCAUGCCCAGGUGAACACCUGAGAUAAAUAUGACAAAGUCACUUGCUCCAGAUCAUGUUUGAAAGUGAAGCAUAUAACUUCUACAUUCUUAUCAUGUCAAGCUGCCCGCCAGCCAUGCCAUGAAACUUCCUUCAAAGAGAACCAGUUGUCUCUCCUCUGAUGCGUUGGAAAGAGGGGUCACUCUGUUGGCCAAAUACCCCAAUUCCCUUCUGGAGCUCUCCAACUCUCUGUUAACUUGGACCUCUUCCAGUGGACCAAACAUUUGGUAUAAAUGGAACUCUCAAGAAGAGGAAAUAAAAGAAUUAAACACACUUUCCAGGCUGUGUUAUAGGUUUCUGUACAGAUAAAAACACUUCAAAUUCAAAAGCAACUUUGAUACUAAAAAACAGGACAAUUACCACAGAGAAAAGGGCAUUUGUGUAAUAGCUGAAAAUCUGGGAAGCAUUUAUCCGCAUCCAUGUUUUGGCCUCAGGAGGACCUAAAUUGCAAAGGAACUCAUCACACAGUGAUCUGAUAGAACAUCCAGCUCCCACAGAAAGAAAAAUUCUUGUGUUCUCUGGGUUUGUGUAGUAUCAGUACUAAUAAAGAAUGAAUGAAAGUUGACAUC